rnacentral:rRNA from 1 species
GAUGAACGCUGACAGAAUGCUUUACACAUGCAAGUCAACUUGAACUUCGGUCUUGGUGGCGGACGGGUGAGUAACGCGUAAAGAACUUGCCUCACAGAGAGGGACAACAUGUGGAAACGAAUGCUAAUACCUGAUAUUAUGAUUAUAUGGCAUCGUAUAAUUAUGAAAGCUAUAUGCGCUGUUAGAGAGCUUUGGGUCACAUUAGCUAGUUGGAGAGGUAACGGCUCACGAAGGCGAUGAUGGGUAGCCGGACUGAGAGGGUGACCCGCCACAAGGGGACUGAGAAGCCGCCAUUAGGCAUAUGGGAGGAAGCAGCGGAAAACUUUGGAAGAUGGACCAAGAGUCUGAUCAAGCACUUCGGGGUGCAAGACGCAUUUUUUCGGAACGAAAAGUGCUUUCAGUUGAGAAGAAAAAAAUGACGGUACCAACAGAAGAAGUGACGGCUAAAUACGUG